rnacentral:lncRNA from 1 species
UCUGAAACGAACUGUUCAUUGAUUCCUUUGGCAUACGUCUACACGUAAAUCUCACGAAAAUAAAUCUAUAAACACAAAUAUUGGACAAGCGGCUUCGCUAAAUAUGGUGGGGUUCUUUAGAGCCGUGUUUAUUCUUGUCUCCUGUCAAGUUUUCGUGUGGAAAUGCUCAGCUGAACUACCCGAAUGUGGGAACGUAUGUAUUAUUAUAUAAAUCUAAAUCUUUGUUUGUUAAACACGGUUCAAAAUGGUUAAGACAAUGUGGGGUUUCGUCGAGUGAAGGCCUUUCUUUACCAAGCUGGUAGAUGUUUUAUUCAUCAAGUAUGUUUUGAUCGAAUUUGUGGCGGUGUAAAGUCUCUUUCAGUCGUCUUUCAAUGCAAAGUCUUAAUUUCAGGCAGAAAUUUGAUGAGUGUCAUACGCCUACCACACAGACAUAUAAAUAACUCACGCGGCUGACAACCAGAGCAAACAUCAUCGGCAUAGCUUCAGCUAUAGUUUCUAACGAAAGGCCUUUGCUUGAAUGCCAUGUACAGCUUACUUAAUAAAUCAAGUUGUUUAAGAAAACACCCAAGUACAUCGACACCAGCUUAUUGUAGGCAUUAUUUAUACUAUAAUUGUACACGUAUAUUAGAUCAGUUGCUCACGAGCGGUAUGUCAACAUUUCCGUCAUGUCUGACCCACGAUAGCCAAGUGUAAUUCUAUUUCAGAAACGUCCUGAGAGAUAUGAAAACUAAUCUCGUAUUAAUUCCGACACUGCCACUGGCCUGAGAUAUCGGCUAUGGCUGCGACGGGAAUUGUGAGUUCGAAUUAUCGAAUUCCCCUCCGGCUAAGAUUAUAUAUAGAAUCCGAAAUUUUCGUUGUGAUUCCACAGCCGUCAGAAAUUCAGAAUAAAUAUGAAUUAGCCUGGGUAGCCGGGCUUCGUGUAUAGUUCGAUCACUGAUAGAAAUACACGUCUCCCGAUCUACUUCAGUAUUAAACAUGAAAUUAAGCUAUAAAACCCCAGUCAAGUCACACAUUCGGUUUCGUCAAGUCACGCAUUUCAAGCUCUAGAUUAACAAAAAACUUGAUAAAGGUUUGACUCGGCUUGACGAAUGUUCCAACUACCGACACGUAAAAAUCUCACAUCUUGUAGCAAGUCAGCCAACAAGCCGUCAACAAGUUCUGUUCGCACUGCUUGUCCCAACUGAGUUGUCAAUAAGUAUGGAACAACUUGUUUAUAACACUUGUAACACUGUCAGACUUGUAGCAAGGUUGUUCCAAAAAGUAUGAUACAAUUAUGAUAUAGCAAUAUUGUAUACAAGUUGUCAACAGCUUGUAACAAGCUUGUUGAUACUAUCAGACUUGUACCAAGGUUGUUCCAACAACUCUGAUACAGUUAUGAUAUAACAAUAUUGUACACAACUUGUUAACAGCUUGUAACAAGCGUGUUGAUAUUAUCAGACUUGUAGCAAGGUUGUUCCAACAAAUCUGAUACAGUCAUGAUAUAACAAUAUUGUACAAGUUGUUUAAACAGCUUGUAAGAAGCUUGUUGAUAUUAUCAGACUUGUAACAAGGUUGUUCCAACAAAUCUGACACAGUCAUGAUAUAACAAUAGUGUACAAGUUGAUUAAACAGCUUGUAACAAGCUUGUUGAUAUUAUCAGACUUGUAGCAAGGUUGUUCCAACAAGUCCGAUACAGUCAUGAUAUAACAAUAUGGUAUACAAGUUGUUAACAACUUGUAACAAGCUUGUUGUUAUUAUCAGACUUGUAGCAAGGUUGUCCCAACAAGUCUGAUACAGUCAUGAUAUAGCAAUAUUGUAUACAAGUUGUCAACAGCUUGUAACAAGCUUGUUGAUACUAUCAGACUUGUGAGCAAGGUUGUUACCAACAAGUCCGAUACAGUCAUGACAUAACAAUAUUGUAUACAAGUUGUUAACAACUUGUAACAAGCUUGUUGUUAUUAUCAGACUUGUAGCAAGGUUGUUCCAACAAGUCUGAUACAGUCAUGAUAUAACAAUAUUGUGCAAGUUGUUUAAACAGCUUGUAAAAGCUUUUUGAUAUAUUAUCAGACUUGUAGAAAGGUUGUUCCAACAAGUCUGAUACAGUAAUGUUAUAACAAUAUUGUACAAGUUGUUUAAACAGCUUGUAAAAGCUUUUUGAUAUUAUCAGACUUGUAGCAAGGUUGUUCCAACAAGUCUGAUACAGUCAUGAUAUAACAAUAUUGUACCAGUUGUUAACAGCUUGUAACAAGCUUUUUGAUAUUAUCAGACUUGUAGCAAGGUUGUUCCAACAAGUCUGAUACAGUCAUGAUAUAACAAUAUUGUACCAGUUGUUAACAGCUUGUAACAAGCUUUUUGAUAUUAUCAGACUAAUGUAGCAAGGUUGUUCCAACAAGGCUGAUACAGUCAUGAUAUAACAAUAUUGUACAAGUUGAUUAAACAGCUUGUAACAAGCUUGUUGAUAUUAUCAGACUUGUAGCAAAUUUUUUCCAACAAGGCUGAUACAGUCAUGAUAUAACAAUAUUGUACAAGAUGUUUAAACAGCUUGUAACAAGCUUGUUGAUAUUAUCAGACUUGUAACAAGGUUGUUUCAACAAGUCCGAUACAGUCAUGAUAUAACAAUAUUGUACAAGUUGUUAAAACAGCUAGUAACAAGCUUGUUGAUAUUAUCAGACUUGUAGCAAGGUUGUUCCAACAAGUCCGAUACAGUCAUGAUUUAACAAUAUUGUAUACAAGUUGUUAACAGCUUGCAACAAGCUUGUUGAUAUUAUCAGACUUGUAGCAAGGUUGUUCCAACAAGUCGGAUACAGUCAUGAUAUAACAAUAUUGUGUACAAGUUGUUAACAGCUUGUAAAAGCUUUUUGAUAUUAUCAGACUUGUAGCAAAGUUGUUCCAACAAGUCUGAUACAAUCAUGAUAUAACAAUAUUGUACCAGUUGUUAACAGCUUGUAAAUGCUUUUUGAUAUUAUCAGACUUGUGGCAAGGUUGUACCAACAAGUCCGAUACAGUCAUGAUAUAACAAUAUUGUUACAAUCUUGUGUCGAUCGUCAACCUUGUUACAUUCUUGUUUAUCAUGACUAUAUCAGACUUGUUACAACAAUCUUGUAACAAGUCUGAUAAUGCCAUCAAGCUUGUUACUAGUUGUUAACAGCUUGUUCCAAACUUGUUACAACAAUUGGGAACAAACAUUGCGAACACAACUUGCUGACAGCUUGUGAACAGAUUUUUAACGACUUGUGCGUUUUUACUUGUGUAUUCCAAAAAUCAAUUCCUUUUCUGCUUGGGGUACACAGGUAAAAACGCGCAAAUUGUUACAAGAUCUGCAAACAAGUUGUAAGAAGGUUGUUGGAAAGCCGAUAUCAAUAUGUAUUCGCGCUACUUUUUCCCAGUUGUUGUGGCAAAUCUGGGGCAAGUUGUUAUGAUCAUGUUACAAGUGAUGAGGGUAACGGACUUGCUGCAAGUUGUUCCAACAAGACUAAUACAGGCGUUCGUAACAAGUUGCUUCGAGCUUACUGUCAUCAACUUGUUACGUGCAGACGGUAUCAGACUUGUUGGAACAACUUUUUGCAUGCGAGUCUGUUUGCCUCAUCUACCUUGUUACAAGAUGAUAACAACUUGUCCCAGGCUUGUCAACAACUGGGAACAAGCAUUGCGAACACAUCUUGUUGACAAGCUGUGAAAUUUUUUCGCGUGUAGGACUUUAGGUGAUACAGUGCAUUUUUUAAGGAUUGUUCGGUGGUGGCGCAAAACUGCCAAAGAGCACAUUUUCCUUGCCCUCCCCCUAGGAUAGUAUGCGAUUGUUGAAGGUGUGAGGCGAGUGCCACAGGCACAAGUUCGCUAGGGAGAUCUAAGGGCAUGCCCCCUCCGCAGGAAAUUAUUAAAAUUUAGGUCUCUGAAAUAUCUUUUCCUGCAUUCUUAGAACGCAUUUUAAAAAAAUCUCAGCUUCUCAAAACAAAGUUUUAAUGGUGAAAUUUGUAAUAAUUGCACGCUAAACGUUCAAACACAACAUAAAUUUAAGUAUGCUCACCAACAUAUUUUGUUCUUUUCAAUGUUAAACUCAUUUACUCGAACAACUAGGGCCCUGACUUUGGGACAAUAGGCCAUUUUUUUCUUCAGUGGUGGGGCAGAGGAAGGGGCCCAGUGGGGAAAAUUACCCACCAGUCCCUGGUAUUAAAAAUGCCUGGAGGUGAUGAAUCUUAACGUGCAUUAUUAUAGGGAGAAUAUCAUUACGAAUACACAGAGUGUGGCUCUGAUGGUGGUAGAUGGCAUGUUCCAGUUCCUCACGAUGCAACUCAUUGUACCAUUAAGGCCAAACCACCAUUACACCA